GACGAACCGAGCGAACGUUGUUCGGAAUAACUGGGCUUAAAGGGCGCGUAGGCGGGCCGCCAAGUUCGAGGUGAAAUCCUCCGGCUCAACCGGAGAACUGCCUCGAAUACUGGAGGUCUCGAGGGUGGUAGGGGCAUGCGGAACUGUGGGUGGAGCGGUGAAAUGCGUUGAUAUCCACAGGAACUCCGGUGGCGAAGGCGGCAUGCUGGACCACAUCUGACGCUGAGGCGCGAAAGCCAGGGGAGCAAAC
rnacentral:rRNA from 1 species